rnacentral:rRNA from 1 species
UACGUAGGGCGCAAGCGUUGUCCGGAAUUAUUGGGCGUAAAGAGCUCGUAGGCGGUUUGUCGCGUCUGUCGUGAAAGCCCACGGCUUAACUGUGGGUCUGCGGUGGAUACGGGCAGACUAGAGGCAGGUAGGGGAGAAUGGAAUUCCCGGUGUAGCGGUGAAAUGCGCAGAUAUCGGGAGGAACACCGGUGGCGAAGGCGAGUCCCUGGACAACACCUGACACUGAGGCACGAAAGCUAGGGGAGCAAACAGG